GAUGAACGCUGGCGGCGUGCCUAAUACAUGCAAGUCGAGCGGACGAAUCGAAAGCUUGCUCCUGAUUCGUUAGCGGCGGACGGGUGAGUAACACGUGGGCAACCUGCCCUGAAGACGGGGAUAACACCGAGAAAUCGGUGCUAAUACCGGAUAACAUGAAGAGUCGCAUGACGUAACGGUGAAAGACGGUGCAGGCUGUAGCUACAGGAUGGGCCCGCGGCGCAUUAGCUAGUUGGUGAGGUAACGGCUAACCAAGGCGACGAUGCGUAGCCGACCUGAGAGGGUGAUCGGCCACACUGGGACUGAGACACGGCCCAGACUCCUACGGGAGGCAGCAGUAAGGAAUCUUCCGCAAUGGACGAAAGUCUGACGGAGCAACGCCGCGUGAGCGAAGAAGGCCUUCGGGUCGUAAAGCUCUGUUGUUAGGGAAGAACAAGUAACGCAGUAACUGGCGUUACCUUGACGGUACCUAACGAGAAAGCCACGGCUAACUACGUG
rnacentral:rRNA from 1 species